UUCUGAUCAAAGACCAAAAAUAUGAUUCUACCAACUGUUCGAUGAAAUGCCAAGCACUUAUGCAACAUUUAGUUGGUUGUUCUUUCCUUCACAUUUAUCUUAGUUGAAAAACUACCCUAAAACUACAUGCUAACCAAAACUGGACUUGGAUUAGAUUAUAGAUUAGACUGGAAUUCAUUUUCAGGUGUCAAUGAAUCCACCUAUAUGCAGUCAUUACUGUGACCCCAAUGCCGAAGUGAAUAGAGCAACUCAACACAGUGAAGCCUUAUAUUACAUUGAUGUAUUACAAUAUAUUAUAGCUCCAUAUAAUUCACAUUUAGAGAAAAUAUGCUAGAUAGUUAGGAAUGUAAAAACAUGUGAAGCUUUAAAUAUGAUGCCACACCUUAGUGACUUCAUGUCAUUUGCUUGACAACUUGGAUUCAAAGAAGAUGAUAAAUUACUUCAUUUUUUGUAUUCAAUUAGCAAGUACAAUUCUCCAAACUCAAGAAGAUGAACUUUAGGGGUUGGUUCUGUUAUUGGUUCUGUAGACUUGGUUGUUGGUACAAUCAGAUAAGAUAUAUAUGUAACUGAUGCUCAAUCUCUUAUUAGAUGCUAAAUAUGCUAGGACUCUUAUAAGUGAAAUUCCAAAUAAAAGUUCGUAUAAGAAAGAGAUAGAUCUUAGGUUUGAAUUUAUCAUUGCUUGAACAUAGAUUAUAGAAGAAAUGAACAUAGUCUUUAUGUUAUUUGAAGUUUUGAACUAGCAUAUUUGUGCUGGAUAGAAACUUAAAUUUUUAAGCAGCUAGCCCCACAUGGGUGAUUUGUGCAAUCUUAAAUAGCCCCGUAGAUUUACAUAGACUUUCGGUUUAUGUUUUCAUUGUGCUUUUCUCACUCUCUAUGUGUUAGUUUAUAUGCUCGUGUUUACCUUCUUAGGUUAUGUGAGGGUGGAGAACUGCUGGAUCAGAUAUUGGCCUAGUAAGUAUUGGUUGAUUUUGGACGUGAUUGUUAUUUUCCUUGGUCUAAAUCUGGUCUCCUUGGUACCCUUGAUUCAUGUCAUUACAAAAAAAUGAAAAAAAUUCAAUUUCUCAGUCGCAUGCUUUGCUUCAAUUUCAUUUUCAGAUUUAAGUUUGUCCAAAUUUUAGAUGGCUUGUAAUGGGAGCAGAAGCAGACAGAUAUAAAUUGGGGAUGUGGGAACCACCUGAAUCUAAUGGGAUGCUUUCAAAAACGCUAGCAUGAACAAGAACUGCGAGUAGUCUCAGGGAAUCUGUUUCCUUGGCUACAUUUUCUUUCUAUUAAAGUUUUUUCCUCCUUCAAUCAACAGUUAAUAAUUUUGCAUAAUAUGUGUUAAAUUCUUACCCUCUUUGCCCUGCUUAUUUUAUUAUUUACUUUCAUCUUUUCCUGUUAUACAUUGGUGGUUACUAAUGAUGCAUGCUAUUUUCUCUUUCAGGUAAACAGAAUCAUGGAACUCCCAGAAGAUAGUAAGGCAGUAGCCAAGCACACAGAUAGUCCCAAUCAUCAGGCAUUUGAAUGAAGAUGUGCUUCUUUUAGAGUUUAUUGUAAUUGGAGUUUGUGGUUCGCUAAGCACAAUGAUAUGUCAUGAUAUGAAGGAAAUGAAAGGCUAUUGAGGAUUUUCCUUUUGUCCAUGUAUCCCUGUAUCUUUCUUAAGUAGCUCCCUUUGUGUGGGUGUCAAUUCACUUAAAACAUGAGAAAGCUGCAUUUUGCUCUCAUGUUAUGUGACUAAAAUUAGAUGAGAUCUUUGGUUAUAUCAUUAUUUGAAUUGGUACUCUUGGCUUUAAUUUA